rnacentral:rRNA from 1 species
UUAAGUUGUCAAGGGCGCAUGGUGGAUGCCUUGGCACCAGGAGCCGAUGAAGGACGUGGGAGGCCGCGAUAGGCCUGGGGGAGUUGUCAACCGAGCUGUGAUCCCAGGAUGUCCGAAUGGGGAAACCCGGCACGUGUCAUUGCGUGUCACCCACCGCUGAAUGUAUAGGCGGUGUGGAGGGAACGCGGGGAAGUGAAACAUCUCAGUACCCGUAGGAAGAGAAAACAACAGUGAUUCCGUGAGUAGUGGCGAGCGAAAGCGGAUGAGGCUAAACCGGUGGCGUGUGAUACCUGGUAGGGGUUGCGUCAUCGGGGUUGCGGGAGCACCUGUCCAGUUGCUACCACUUCUGGCUGCAGUUAUAAAGUCGUGUGUUAACCGAAUGGUCUGGGAAGGCCGACCGUAGACGGUGAGAGUCCGGUAGGUGAAAACGCAUGGCCUGCAGAUGGUGUGUCCCAAGUAGCGGCGGACCCCUGAAAUCUGCCGUGAAUCUGCCAGGACCACCUGGUAAGCCUAAAUACUUCCUGGUGACCGAUAGCGGACUAGUACCGUGAGGGAAAGGUGAAAAGUACCCCGGGAGGGGAGUGAAAUAGUACCUGAAACCAUGUGCUUACAAUCCGUCAGGGCCCGUGCAUUCUUUAGUGGAUGGCGGGUGAUGGCGUGCCUUUUGAAGAAUGAGCCUGCGAGUUAGUGGUGCGUGGCGAGGUUAACCUGUGGAGGGUAGCCGUAGCGAAAGCGAGUCUGAAUAGGGCGAACAUAGUCGCGUGCUCUAGACCCGAAGCGGAGUGAUCUACCCAUGGGCAGGUUGAAGCGCGGGUAAGACCGCGUGGAGGACCGAACCCACCAGCGUUGAAAAGCUGGGGGAUGACCUGUGGGUAGGGGUGAAAGGCCAAUCAAACUCCGUGAUAGCUGGUUCUCCCCGAAAUGCAUUUAGGUGCAGCGUCUCGUGUUUCUUGCCGGAGGUAGAGCACUGAUUGGCCUAGGGGGCCGACAAGCUUACCGAAGUCAGUCAAACUCCGAAUGCCGGUAAGUGAGAGCGAGGCAGUGAGACUGCGGGGGAUAAGCUCCGUAGUCGAGAGGGAAACAGCCCAGAUCACCGGCUAAGGCCCCUAAGCGUGUGCUAAGUGGAAAAGGAUGUGGGAUCGCGGAGACAACCAGGAGGUUGGCUUAGAAGCAGCCACCCUUGAAAGAGUGCGUAAUAGCUCACUGGUCAAGUGGUUCUGCGCCGAUAAUGUAGCGGGGCUCAAGUACACCGCCGAAGCCGUGGCACUCACACAUUAACCAGGCCUUCUCCUGCGGGGGUUGGUCCAGGUGUGUGGGUGGGUAGGGGAGCGUCGUGCGGGCAGUGAAGCAGCAGGGUGACCUAGCUGUGGAGGCCGCGCGAGUGAGAAUGCAGGCAUGAGUAGCGAAAGCAGGGUGAGAAACCCUGCCGCCGGAUGACCAAGGGUUCCAGGGCCAGGCUAAUCCGCCCUGGGUAAGUCGGGACCUAAGGCGAGGCCGAGAGGCGUAGUCGAUGGACAACGGGUUGAUAUUCCCGUACCCGCGUAGAAGCGACCAUGACGAACCUUCGUGUGCUAACCACUCCAAGCAUCCUGUUGUGGGCCUUCGGGUCUGCUGGGGUGUGGCCGGGUGGGAUCCCGUGUGGUAGUAGUCAAGCGAUGGGGUGACGCAGGAGGGUAGCUGAUCCCGGUGAAUGGUAGUGCCGGGCCAAGCAUGUAGCCCGAACCAUAGGUAAAUCCGUGGUUCACGUAGGGUGAGAUGUGACGGGUAGCCGAUUGAGGUGAAGUCAGUGAUCCCAUGCUGCCGAGAAAAGCCUCUAGCGAGUUUCGAGCGGCCCGUACCCCAAACCGACUCAGGUGGUCAGGUAGAGAAUACCAAGGCGAUCGGGUGAACUGUGGUUAAGGAACUCGGCAAAUUACCCCCGUAACUUCGGGAGAAGGGGGACCCCGGCUGGUGACGCGGCUAGCUCGUUGAGCUGGUUGGGGUCGCAGUGACCAGGGGGAAGCGACUGUUUACUAAAAACACAGGUCCAUGCGAAGAAGUAAUUCGAUGUAUAUGGACUGACGCCUGCCCGGUGCUGGAACGUUAAGGGGACCUGUUAGCUCUUCGGAGCGAGGCGGAGAACUUAAGCGCCAGUAAACGGCGGUGGUAACUAUAACCAUCCUAAGGUAGCGAAAUUCCUUGUCGGGUAAGUUCCGACCUGCACGAAUGGCGUAACGACUUCCCCACUGUCUCAACCACAGGCCCGGCGAAAUUGCAGUACGAGUAAAGAUGCUCGUUACGCGCGGCAGGACGGAAAGACCCCGGGACCUUUACUAUAGCUUGGUAUUGGUGCUUGGAGCAGUUUGUGUAGGAUAGGUGGGAGCCUGUGAAGCGGUCACGCCAGUGUCCGUGGAGGCGAUCUUGAAAUACCACUCUGAUUGUUCUGGGUAUCUAACCUCGGACCGUGAUCCGGUUCAGGGACAGUGCCUGGUGGGUAGUUUAACUGGGGCGGUUGCCUCCCAAAAUGUAACGGAGGCGCCCAAAGGUUCCCUCAGCCUGGUUGGCAAUCAGGUGUUGAGUGUAAGUGCACAAGGGAGCUUGACUGUGAGACCGACGGGUCGAGCAGGUGCGAAAGCAGGGACUAGUGAUCCGGCACUGGCAUGUGGAAGCGGUGUCGCUCAACGGAUAAAAGGUACCCCGGGGAUAACAGGCUGAUCUUCCCCAAGAGUCCAUAUCGACGGGAUGGUUUGGCACCUCGAUGUCGGCUCGUCGCAUCCUGGGGCUGGAGUAGGUCCCAAGGGUUGGGCUGUUCGCCCAUUAAAGCGGCACGCGAGCUGGGUUUAGAACGUCGUGAGACAGUUCGGUCCCUAUCCGCCGUGCGCGUAGGAUACUUGAGAAGGGCUGUCCCUAGUACGAGAGGACCGGGACGGACGAACCUCUGGUGUGCCAGUUGUCUUGCCAAAGGCACGGCUGGUUGGCUACGUUCGGAAGAGAUAACCGCUGAAAGCAUCUAAGCGGGAAACUCGCUUCAAGAUAAGGUAUCCCAUCCCGCAAGGGAGUAAGGCCCCCAGCUAGACUACUGGGUUGAUAGGCCGGAAAUGUACGCACAGUAAUGUGUUCAGUUGACCGGUACUAAUAGGCCGAGGACUUAAC